rnacentral:rRNA from 1 species
AGUGAACGCUGGCGGCAUGCCUAACACAUGCAAGUCGAACGAAGGCUUCGGCCUUAGUGGCGCACGGGUGCGUAACGCGUGGGAAUCUGCCCUUGGGUUCGGAAUAACAGUUAGAAAUGACUGCUAAUACCGGAUGAUGACGUAAGUCCAAAGAUUUAUCGCCCAAGGAUGAGCCCGCGUAGGAUUAGCUAGUUGGUGGGGUAAAAGCCCACCAAGGCGACGAUCCUUAGCUGGUCUGAGAGGAUGAUCAGCCACACUGGGACUGAGACACGGCCCAGACUCCUACGGGAGGCAGCAGUGGGAAAUAUUGGACAAUGGGCGAAAGCCUGAUCCAGCAAUGCCGCGUGAGUUAUGAAGGCCUUAGGGUUGUAAAGCUCUUUUACCCGGGAUGAUAAUGACAGUACCGGGAGAAUAAGCUCCGGCUAACUUCGUGCCAGCAGCCGCCGUAA